GACUAGAUGGAGUCCCUGAAGCAGUUGGCGUGAGCCUAAGUGGAUUCCAGGGGAUGGUGGAGGACAGGAAGGCCUGGAGGAAUGUUGUCCAUGGGGUCGCGAUGGGUCGGAUACGAUUUCACGACUAACAACCACAAGCACUAUGCUGGUAUGU